UGGGGAAUAUUGCACAAUGGAGGGAACUCUGAUGCAGCGACGCCGCGUGAACGAAGAAGGCUUUCGAGUCGUAAAGUUCUUUUAUAUGGGAAGAUAAUGACGGUACCAUAAGAAGAAGCCCCGGCUAACUACGUGCCAGCAGCCGCGGUAAUACGUAGGGGGCUAGCGUUGUCCGGAAUCACUGGGCGUAAAGGGUUCGCAGGCGGAAAUGCAAGUCAGGUGUAAAAGGCAGUAGCUUAACUACUGUAAGCAUUUGAAACUGCAUAUCUUGAGAAGAGUAGAGGGAAGUUGAAUUUUUAGUGUAGCGGUUAAAUGCGUAGAUAUUAAAAAGAAUACCGGUGGCGAAAGCGACUUACUGGGCUCAUUCUGACGCUGAGGAACGAAAGCGUGGGUAGCAAACAGG
rnacentral:rRNA from 1 species